CCAAUAGCGUAUAUUAAAGUUGUUGCAGUUAAAAAGCUCGUAGUUGAAUUUUGGGUCUGGCCGGGCGGUCCGCCCUCUGGGUGAGCACUGUUCCGACGCCGGGCCUAUCCUUCUGGUGAGUCGGCAUGUCCUUUGUUGGGUGUGUCGGGGAACCAGGACCAUUACCUUGAAAAAAUUAGAGUGUUCAAAGCAGGCGUAUGCUCGGAUACAUUAGCAUGGAAUAAUGAAAUAGGACGCGUGGUGCUAUUUUGUUGGUUUCUAGAACCGCCGUAAUGAUUAAUAGGGAUGGUUGGGGGCAUUAGUCUUCACUUGUCAGUGGUGAAAUUCUUGGAUUUAUUGAAGACUAACUUCUGCGAAAGCAUUUGCCAAUGAUGUUUUCAUUAAUCAAGAACGAAAGUUAGGGGAUCGAAGACGAUCAGAUACCGUCGUAGUCUUAACCAUAAACUAUGCCGACUAGGAAUCGGGCGAUGUUAUUCUCAUGACUCGCCCGGCGCCUUAUG
rnacentral:rRNA from 1 species